rnacentral:rRNA from 1 species
UACCAGCACCCCGAGUGGUCGGGACGUUUAUUGGGCCUAAAGCAUCCGUAGCCGGUUCUACAAGUCUUCCGUUAAAUCCACCUGCUUAACAGAUGGGCUGCGGAAGAUACUAUAGAGCUAGGAGGCGGGAGAGGCAAGCGGUACUCGAUGGGUAGGGGUAAAAUCCGUUGAUCCAUUGAAGACCACCAGUGGCGAAGGCGGCUUGCCC